rnacentral:lncRNA from 1 species
UGUCUUCCUUCCAUAUAUUAGUCAUCUCCAGUGCAUAAUAUAAAACAACAAUCUAUCAUCAUUUAUCUGUGAUGAUAAUUGCCUUCACGUCAUCUCUUCUCAAAGCUUGAUCAUAACUCUCUUCUAAGCUGUUUAAUACUGGAAAAAGGAAGAAAAAAGGAAGUUAAGCAAAUGUUUGGGUAAACGAGAGAAAUUAAUCACUAACUGCGAUCCCAACCUAUGGACUGAUCAUCUCUCUACGCCCAGCCCCUCCUCUCUUUUGGUGCACAUUCUACUUUAGUCGUUGGAGGUAAGGAAAGUUCUUCACAAGUUAUGGCCCUAUAAUUUUCUUUGGGUUUUGUACAAGGUGAGUGUGUUAGGAGGGUGGGGAAUUAACCAUCUCCAUAGACAUCAAUAUGAGAUCAAAUCAAUAGAUGUCAAUUGUUAUUUGUGUUUUCAAGAUGCAAACAUUGAUUUGUAAAGUCUUUCUGACCAACAACCUGUGUUAAUAUAUAAAAUCCUUCAUAUUACCAUCAAAACUUAAUUCAUGGUCAUUAAUCAUAAAAUGCAAAUUCAUUUAUCAAAGCAUCUGAUUUACCCCAAUUAAUUAAUUCAAAUAUGAAUUUACUGGCCUUUUCACAUAGCUAAGUUAUGCAAGUAAAAGAACAAAAAUUAAAAAUUAAAAAUCAAUUCGCAGAUUUCUGUGAACACACGAGAGUUGGACUGAGCCAGUACAAACAAUUUGAAAAAGAUUAACCAACAAGCUAAAAACCACUACACAUCGAACCCAUGAUAACAUGUUUCUACAAAAUCAAAACGAAUCCAUAAAAGAACUGUAAAAUUCAAAAUGAAAUUAAUGAAAAUACAUGAAUGACGCCUNNNGCUAAAGUAGCAAAAUUGUAAAUAGUACAAAACAAUGAUAGAGAGUUAAUAGGGGGUUGAUGAUGAUGGCCAUCCCAUCACUCCCAGCAUCCAUUGUUGUUCUUCCCUUUUUUCUGCUCAUUUUUUCCUCUGUUGAUGCUUUCUCUCACCACAGAUUUGUUUCUGCCUUCCAAAGAACGAAUAUGAGAUUGUUAGAUGAUUCUAUAAAAUUAUCUGCAAGCUUAUCAAAUAGUCCUUAAAAGCAAUGACAGAAACCCCCAAUCAUUAAAUCCCUAUUGUCAAGACCAAUGCGGAAACAACUUUUGAAAGCACCACCAAAGCUUCCUCCAUUCGUGAAGCAGAAAACACCCCACACAAACCACUGAUGUUUCAUGCAAGAAUCAAAAGACAUUUGUCGGGUAUACCAGCCCUGAAAUUUUCACAUCAACAUAAUUACUGAAUAAAAACAAUUAUCCUUGCUUCGCAAGCUCCAAUAUAUAGAAACAAAGCCCACUUUAGAAGUAUGCAAACAAAUAACUAAGCUCAACUGAUUCCAAUACAAUGAACUAAGUAUAAAAUAUUUGAACUUAGAUCAAAUUUGCAUGGGCCGUGUGGAAAAUCAAGAAAUUAUGGCUUCAGAGAAUUGAAAACCUUGAAAACCCACAGGGAAAAAAAUCAUCAAACUAACUAAAAUUAGGGAAAAGAUCGAUUGGAGAAAAUAUUGGUUUUAAAAAAUCUUAUCCGACAGAAAUCGCGUUGCUACAGUAAUGGAUUCCACCAGCUAAAAAGUAGAUGCAAACCAUAUACAAAGGAACAGAAAAUAAAAAUAGUCAAUUGAAGCAUACUCAAGAUUUGAAGUAAAAAAUGAAUAACUCAAAUACACAGGAAAAUAUCAAACUAACUAAAAUUAGGGAAAAGACCAAUUGGAGAAAAUAUUAGUUUUAG